UACGGAGGGAGCUAGCGUUGUUCGGAAUUACUGGGCGUAAAGCGCGCGUAGGCGGCUUUUGUAAGUUAGAGGUGAAAGCCCGGGGCUCAACCCCGGAAUUGCCUUUAAGACUGCAUCGCUUGAAUCCGGGAGAGGUGAGUGGAAUUCCGAGUGUAGAGGUGAAAAUUCGUAGAUAUUCGGAAGAACACCAGUGGCGAAGGCGGCUCACUGGACCGGCAUUGACGCUGAGGUGCGAAAAGCGUGGGGGAGCAAACAGG
rnacentral:rRNA from 1 species